rnacentral:rRNA from 1 species
GACGAACGCUGGCGGCGUGCCUAACACAUGCAAGUCGAGCGGGGAUUUAAGUGGAAGUUCUUCGGAAUGGAGAUUUAAAUUCUAGCGGCGGACAGGUGAGUAACGCGUGAACAAUCUGUCCCGGACAGGGGGAUAACACUUGGAAACAGGUGCUAAUACCGCAUAAGACCACGGCCUCGCAUGGGGCUGAGGUAAAAGGAGCAAUCCGGUUCGGGGUGAGUUCGCGUCCGAUUAGCUAGUUGGUGAGGUAACGGCCCACCAAGGCGACGAUCGGUAGCCGGCCUGAGAGGGUGAACGGCCACAUUGGAACUGAGAGACGGUCCAAACUCCUACGGGAGGCAGCAGUGGGGAAUAUUGGGCAAUGGGCGAAAGCCUGACCCAGCAACGCCGCGUGAGGGAAGAAGGUUUUCGGAGUGUAAACCUCUGUCCUAUGGGACGAAGGAAGUGACGGUACCAUAGGAGGAAGCCCCGGCUAACUACGUG